CUGAGUACUACACUCUCUACCCUUUGUGAACUAUUAUACCUGUUGCUUCGGCGGCGCCCGCAAGGGUGCCCGCCGGUCUCAUCAGAAUCUCUGUUUUCGAACCCGACGAUACUUCUGAGUGUUCUUAGCGAACUGUCA
rnacentral:misc_RNA from 3 species